AACGCACGAGACCUGCGGACCUGCGGAAGGAUCAUUAUUGAAUAAACCUGGUUGAGUUGUUGCUGGCUUUCAGGAGCAAUGUGCACGCUCACACCAUCUUUUAACCACCUGUGCACCUCGUGUAGAUCUCUGAGGGGUUACUUGAGAAUCACCAUUCUCGUAUCCAUUCAAGGUCUAUGUUUUUUAUUAUACCCUAUACAAAUGUAAUAGAACGGUUGAAUGGGGCCUCCGUGCCUUUAA
rnacentral:misc_RNA from 1 species